GGCUUAGUUGGUUAAGCUUCUGACUUCAGCUCAGGUCAUGAUGUCACAGUUUGUGGGUUCGAGCCCCAC
rnacentral:tRNA from 1 species